rnacentral:rRNA from 1 species
GAUCAUGGCUACGAGGACGAACGCUGGCGGCGUGCUUAACACAUGCAAGUCGAACGGUAAGGCCCUUCGGGGUACACGAGUGGCGAACGGGUGAGUAACACGUGGGUGAUCUGCCCUGCACUUCGGGAUAAGCCUGGGAAACUGGGUCUAAUACCGGAUAGGACUCCGAAUCGCAUGGUUUGGGGUGGAAAGCUUUUGCGGUGUGGGAUGGGCCCGCGGCCUAUCAGCUUGUUGGUGGGGGUGAUGGCCUACCAAGGCGACGACGGGUAGCCGGCCUGAGAGGGUGUCCGGCCACACUGGGACUGAGAUACGGCCCAGACUCCUACGGGAGGCAGCAGGUGGGGAAUAUUGCACAAUGGGCGCAAGCCUGAUGCAGCGACGCCGCGUGGGGGAUGACGGCCUUCGGGUUGUAAACCUCUUUCAGCAGGGACGAAGGGUGACUGACGGUACCUGUAGAAGAAGCACCGGCCAACUACGUG